rnacentral:rRNA from 1 species
UACGAAGGGGCUAGCGUUGUUCGGAAUCACUGGGCGUAAAGCGCACGUAGGCGGAUCUUUAAGUCAGGGGUGAAAUCCCGAGGCUCAACCUCGGAACUGCCUUCGAUACUGGCGAUCUUGAGUCCGGAAGAGGUGAGUGGAACUCCUAGUGUAGAGGUGGAAUUCGUAGAUAUUAGGAAGAACACCAGUGGCGAAGGCGGACUCACUGGUCCGGUACUGACGCUGAGGUGCGAAAGCGUGGGAGCAACAGGG